GAUGAAGAACGUAGCGAAAUGCGAUAAGUAAUGUGAAUUGCAGAAUUCAGUGAAUCAUCGAAUCUUUGAACGCACAUUGCGCCCGCCAGUAUUCUGGCGGGCAUGCCUGUUCGAGCGUCAUUUCAACCAUCAAGCCCCAGGCUUGUGUUGGAGCCCUGCGGCUGCCGCAGCCUCCCAAAACCAGUGGCGGGCUCGCUAUCACACCGAGUGCAGUAGUUUACUCUUCGCUCAGGGCGUGUGGCGGGUGCUAGCCGUGAAACCCCCAACUUCUCAAGGUUGACCUCGGAUCAGGUAGGAAUACCCGCUGAACUUAAGCAUAUCAAUAGCGGAGGA
rnacentral:misc_RNA from 1 species